rnacentral:rRNA from 1 species
UGCAGUCGAGCGGACGGAUGGGAGCUUGCUCCCUGAAGUCAGCGGCGGACGGGUGAGUAACACGUGGGCAACCUGCCUGUAAGACUGGGAUAACUUCGGGAAACCGGAGCUAAUACCGGAUAAUGCAUAGCCUCUCAUGAGGCUAUGCUGAAAGAUGGUUUCGGCUAUCACUUACAGAUGGGCCCGCGGCGCAUUAGCUAGUUGGUGAGGUAACGGCUCACCAAGGCAACGAUGCGUAGCCGACCUGAGAGGGUGAUCGGCCACACUGGGACUGAGACACGGCCCAGACUCCUACGGGAGGCAGCAGUAGGGAAUCUUCCGCAAUGGACGAAAGUCUGACGGAGCAACGCCGCGUGAGUGAUGAAGGUUUUCGGAUCGUAAAACUCUGUUGUCAGGGAAGAACAAGUGCCGGAGUAACUGCCGGCACCUUGACGGUACCUGACCAGAAAGCCACGGCUAACUACGUGCCAGCAGCCGCGGUAAUACGUAGGUGGCAAGCGUUGUCCGGAAUUAUUGGGCGUAAAGCGCGCGCAGGCGGUCUCUUAAGUCUGAUGUGAAAGCCCACGGCUCAACCGUGGAGGGUCAUUGGAAACUGGGGGACUUGAGUGCAGAAGAGGAAAGUGGAAUUCCACGUGUAGCGGUGAAAUGCGUAGAGAUGUGGAGGAACACCAGUGGCGAAGGCGACUUUCUGGUCUGUAACUGACGCUGAGGCGCGAAAGCGUGGGGAGCAAACAGGAUUAGAUACCCUGGUAGUCCACGCCGUAAACGAUGAGUGCUAAGUGUAGAGGGUUUCCGCCCUUUAGUGCUGCAGCAAACGCAUUAAGCACUCCGCCUGGGGAGUACGGCCGCAAGGCUGAACUCAAGGAAUUGACGGGGGCCCGCACAGCGGUGGAGCAUGUGUUUAAUUCGAAGCACGCGAAGACCUUACCAGGUCUUGACAUCCUCUGACAACCCUAGAGAUAGGGCGUCCUCGGGACAGAGUGACAGGUGAA